rnacentral:rRNA from 1 species
UAAAUUAUUCAUUUAAACUGCAUGGACCACGUAUGGUUGAGUGUCGUA